CAGGCAUGAGCCACUGUGCCUGGCCUAAACCUGGUGAUUCUUGAGGCAUCUCUUUGUUCUCUGUUGCUAAAUUUUUGUGGUAACUGGACAAGAGAAACAGGACUGAAGCUGUUACUCCCCCAACUUCUGGGAGUGUUUUUGGCUGAAAGCUCUCAGUCAGAGCCUUGCUCUGGGAAUUGUCCUCAGCCAAGGAGAGGAAGAGUCAAACUUGACUUUUAAGAAGUGUUGAAGCCCUACAUUCCUUGAAAAAUUAUGCCGAAUAUCACCUGUACCUUUCAUUUUAUGGAUUGCAAAGGAAGUAGUUUACCAUGUGAUGUAAGUUAGAGGAUUGAAGAUUGCCCUUUGACUCUUGUGAUCAAUGAGAAAGUUUGCCGAAGGAUUGCUGAGUAUGUGCAAGAGACAUUUAUUGAAGAGCAGCUUUGCUUUUACUUCUAAACAACUUCUAAGAAAGAGAAUUUGUGGAUUAGAUUAUGCUAUUUUAUGCAAACACCAAUGUGAUCAGCAGUCAAUGCUAUCACAGGAAGUCCUUAAU
rnacentral:lncRNA from 1 species